rnacentral:misc_RNA from 1 species
AAUCCGAGAAUUUCACCUCCAACGUCGCAAUAUGAAUGCCCCCGUCUGUCCCUCUUAAUCAUUACCUCGAGUUCCGAAAACCAACAAAAUAGAACCGAAGUCCUAUUCUAUUAUUCCAUGCACCACUAUUCAGGCGUAUCGCCUGCUUUGAGCACUCUAAUUUUUUCAAAGUAAACGUUCCAGUCGCCCAAAGCACUCGGUCAAGAGCACCAAGGGAAAACUAGAAAAUAAGCCCAGGUACUUGCAGUACCACCCUUUUGGGGGACCGCCAACCUAAGGCGCAGAUCCAACUACGAGCUUUUUAACCGCAACAACUUUAAUAUACGCUUUUGGAGCUGGAAUUACCGC